rnacentral:rRNA from 1 species
UUAGUACGGCGAGUGAGCGGUAAAAGCUCAAAUUUGAAAUCUGGUACUUUCAGUGCCCGAGUUGUAAUUUGUAGAAUUUGUCUUUGAUUAGGUCCUUGUCUAUGUUCCUUGGAACAGGACGUCAUAGAGGGUGAGAAUCCCGUUUGGCGAGGAUACCUUUUCUCUGUAAGACUUUUUCGAAGAGUCGAGUUGUUUGGGAAUGCAGCUCAAAGUGGGUGGUAAAUUCCAUCUAAAGCUAAAUAUUGGCGAGAGACCGAUAGCGAACAAGUACAGUGAUGGAAAGAUGAAAAGAACUUUGAAAAGAGAGUGAAAAAGUACGUGAAAUUGUUGAAAGGGAAGGGCAUUUGAUCAGACAUGGUGUUUUUUGCAUGCACUCGCCUCUCGUGGGCUUGGGCCUCUCAAAAAUUUCACUGGGCCAACAUCAAUUCUGGCAGCAGGAUAAAUCAUUAAGAAUGUAGCUACUUCGGUAGUGUUAUAGCUUUUUGGAAUACUGUUAGCCGGGAUUGAGGACUGCGCUUCGGCAAGGAUGUUGGCAUAAUGGUUAAAUGCCGCCCGUCUUGA